ensembl:lncRNA
UGCCACCUGGAUGCCACCAAAUGCCAUUUAUUGUCCCCAGAUGUCACUUGGGUGCCAUUAAGUGACCCUGGAUGCCUCUUGGGUGCCAUUAAGAGCCACCAGAUGCCACCAAAGGUCAUUUAUUGUCCCCAGAUGUCACUUGGGUGCCAUUAAGUCACACUUGGGUGGCACUCAUUGACCCUCAAUGCCACUUGGGAGCCACCAAAUGCCAUUUACUGUCCCUAGAUGUCACUUGGGUGCCAUUAAGUCACACUUGGGUGGCACUCAUUGACCCUCAAUGCCACUUGGGGGCCACCAAAUGCCAUUUACUGUCCCUAGAUGUCACUUGGGUGC